CUAUCUAGUGGCAUACGGGUGAGUAAUACAUGGGAAUCUACCUUGCAGUACGGGAUAACUACUGGAAACAGUAGCUAAUACCGUAUAUCGCCGAGAGGUGAAAGAUUUAUCGCUGCAAGAUGAGCCCAUGCAAGAUUAGCUUGUUGGUGGGGUAAUGGCCUACCAAGGCAACGAUCUUUAGCUGGUUUGAGAGGAUGAUCAGCCACACUGGGACUGAGACACGGCCCAGACUCC
rnacentral:rRNA from 1 species